GAUGAACGCUGGCGGCGUGCCUAAUACAUGCAAGUCGAGCGAACAGACGAGGAGCUUGCUCCUCUGACGUUAGCGGCGGACGUGUGAGUAACACGUGGAUAACCUACCUAUAAGACUGGGAUAACUUCGGGAAACCGGAGCUAAUACCGGAUAAUAUAUUGAACCGCAUGGUUCAAUAGUGAAAGACGGUUUUGCUGUCACUUAUAGAUGGAUCCGCGCCGCAUUAGCUAGUUGUUAAGGUAACGGCUUACCAAGGCGACGAUGCGUAGCCGACCUGAGAGGGUGAUAGGCCACACGGGAACUGAGACACGGUCCAGACUCCUACGGGAGGCAGCAGUAGGGAAUGUUCCGCAAUGGGCGAAAGCAUGACGGAGCAACGCCGCGUGAGUGAUGAAGGUCUUCGGAUCGUAAAACUCUGUUAUUAGGGAAGAACAAAUGUGUAAGUAACUAUGCACGUCUUGACGGUACCUAAUCAGAAAGCCACGGCUAACUACGUG
rnacentral:rRNA from 1 species